rnacentral:rRNA from 1 species
GUUUAACACAUGCAAGUCGAACGGAAACGAAAAUAGCUUGCUAUUUGGCGUCGAGUGGCGAACGGGUGAGUAACGCGUAGGAAUCUACCCAGUAGAGGGGGAUAGCCCGAAGAAAUUCGGAUUAAUACCGCAUAAUCUCUACGGAGUAAAGAAGGCCGCUUUACAAUGCUUUUACUAUUGGAUGAGCCUGCGUUAGAUUAGUUAGUUGGUAGGGUAAAAGCCUACCAAGGCGACGAUCUAUAGCUGGUUUUACGAGAAUGAUCAGCCACACUGGAACUGAGACACGGUCCAGACUCCUACGGGAGGCAGCAGUGAAGAAUAUUGGACAAUGGGGGAAACCCUGAUCCAGCAAUGUUGCGUGUGUGAAGAAGGUCCGAGGAUUGUAAAGCACUUUCAGUAAGCAAGAAAAAUGUAAAUCUAAUAGAUUUGCAUGUUGACCACUUAUAGAAGAAGCACCGGCUAACUCCGUGCCAGCAGCCGCGGUAAUACGGAGGGUGCGAGCGUUAAUCGGAAUUACUGGGCGUAAAGGGUAAGUAGGCGGUUUAUAAAGUCACAUGUGAAAGCCCUAGGCUUAAC